rnacentral:lncRNA from 1 species
UUGCCCUUAUUCAGCCCCCUCCGAGAGAGAACGUUUUCCGGCGAUUCUUUCCGCGGCUUCACCGCACUUCUCCCCGGUGUUUUCUUCAUCCCCAGGCAAGCCACAAUACUCACUUGCAUGAUAGUCAUGCAGUAGCCAUGGUUUUCAACUUGAAUAUUUAAUAAAUGUUUGCUUGUUGAAAAGAUGGUUAUCGUUGUUCCGGUGAUGUUCAGAUUUGCAUGUUCACUUUUGUGCUAUGUUGUCUUAUACUCUGUUAUCAUGUUAUACCUGCUAGUAUUACCUCUCAUAUGUUUAUGCUUGUUAGUAGUACAUGUUGAUGUUGGAGAUGGUCAUGCUUGUCAGUAUGCGAUGCUCAGUGGAUAUGAUUUAUUGUUGAUAUGCUGGAAAGUUAUGUGAUACCCUCAUGAUGAUGUUGAUAUCAUGUUCAUGCAUUUUAUCAUGGCUUAGCAUAUUUGCAUUCAAGUUAACCGGGUUAAAUUGAACUUGAACAUCCAUUGGCUGAGUCAUGGUGCCGCUGAAUCGAUGCUGACCAGUGCAACCACGCUUACCGGUAUGGGACAGUCCUAACUGGGUCUAUUGUCGUGCCUCUCGCCGGUGCCUCCAACGAGGAAAGGUUAUGGGCGUGCUGUACACUGGCCCGGUAAGCAGGAAUAACCUUGUGUGCCAUAGUUGUUAUAGCCGGCGGAUCCCCGUGUGGGAUCUUUUAUGUUUUGGCCACGAUGGUGGUCGUUGUGUCUGGAGGUAGGCACGGGGCCACCCAUGACUUAGCUUAGUGAGGAGUGAGUCGGAGUGGUGGGAGAGUGUCAUGGCAGUAGGACGGUUUUGUUGGAACGCUGUUGGUCCACCCGAAUGGGAGUGCGAGGCCAUCGGUUCCGUAGUGUGGGUAUAGUGUACUAAUCUCUGCAGAGUGUAUAUUAAAUCUAUCGAUAGUCGCGCCCGCGGAUAAGGGCCCAAGUCGAAAGUAGGUCACACCAUGAGUCAACAGUAAUAAGAAUAAUGUGCUUAAUAACGGUGAGAUAAGUUGGUUGUGAUCGUCGUAAGGAUCACAGGCCAUUUAGUGGUCGGGUUGUGAUCACCGUAAGGAUCACGGGCCCUUUAGUGGUCGGGUUGUGAUCGCCGUAAGGAUCACGGGCCAUGUAUUGGUUGGGUUGUGAUCGCCGUAAGGAUCACGGUUUGGAACCAAGUGUCGGUCGUGGUUGUGAUUGCCGUAAGGAUCACGGUGGUAUCAAGGAUACUGAGAUGUUGUAUAUUCAAGAUGUUGUGCGAGAAUCGUGGGUAAAGAUCGAGCUCCUUGUGGUCAUUUACUGAUUACUACGGUAUUAUUUAUACCAAGCUUGAUUUGAUCCUGAGAUGAUCGUGCGAUGCCCGAGGUUGGUAAGUGAUGCAUGUGUUGGUUACGUAGUAACCCGAGCAGAAUAAGUGGUGCAUAUAAUGUCAUUAUGUUGCAUGCUAGUAUUGUUAGAUUAAUAUGUUCAUGUUGUGAUAGAUGUUUAUGUUGGUCAUGUUCAUGUUAUAUUGCUAUGAUGAUAUCAUGUUAAUUACUGUUUAACCUGUAAUUGACAUGCUAUUGUUUGUCUUGAAUGCUUCUGGUUAUUGUGAGCUUGCAAGUACAUUCAAUGUACUGACCUGGCGUGUCAUGCCAGCUUGCAGGUCAUUCCGGAUUUGAUUGCUUGUUUGCCAUGGAGUCCAUGUUUGCGAGCUAGGAUAAGCAUUCCAACCAGAGUCCCUGCUGAGUGGAGUUUCACCACCGUCGUCGUUGUUCCGCUACUAGAGUUAUUCCGCUGCUUCGAGUUGUUCUGCUGCUUGCAUAGAGCAACUGAGGAUGGCGUAGUGUCUCCAUACCGAUGUUAUUCAUUGUAAUAUCGGAGACCUUGUAUUCAUAUUCGUGUAAUAAUAGAAAGCUGGUUUGUUCUAUGCUAAGCAGUCCGUAUUCCAGAAGACUUCUCCUCGAUCUCUGGGCUGGAACACGGGGCGUUCCGGUUUCUCUGAGCCGGGGUGCCACAGUGCUUGGUAUCAGAGCAGAUCUGGCUGUAGGACGCCCUAGACCGCGCGAACGUUAGAAAGCGAUAGUAUAGACCCUAGUUGGUUUGUUGCACUUGAUUGCUACAUUUGUUUGUUGCAUAGCAUGCAUAUAGCCUUAGUAUUUGUGAUAAGGUUUAUCUGGUGAGUGUAGCUGGCAUCGGUUUGGAUCCACUACAGCUCAACAUUUGCAUUUCUCUAGUCCCUUUUUCUUUCGGUGUUUGGUGUCAUUUCUGUCCUAGCAGAGUGAUGCCAAGUGAUCCCGAUAUUGUUUGCAAAAAUGGUGCUUAGGUAUCGCACCGAUGUCUUUCCUUCAGUCCCGCCUAUCAUUUCAGUGAUGGGCAUGCGUCUAUCCCGGGUCGUUCUUUUAUUUUGUCGUGUUGGCAACCCUUAAUGAUCUUAGUUAUCAAUAAACGGCAAUGUCAGCAGCCUCAGUUUUUCCCUGCUAUCCUAUUUCUUGGACGAGUACGGAUCUUUUUCCGUCCGCUUGAUAAUAAUGUGGUUGCGACCUUCGUGUCCUAUUGCAUGAUUGCCGAGUACGUCCUUACCUCCGAACUAGUUCAGGUUGCUAUCUAGCUAAGCUAGCACUUGGUGUAGCGCUGAUUACACCAAUUCUUCCACACAUUUAUUCGUCCUCGUGCACAUUGUCACAGCAUGCUAGAUCGUAGUAUCGGAGUUUCCGCGAGAUUUGUGUGCUUAGGUGUGCAUGCAUAUUAUUGUGUGAGUAGAAGUAAUAUGUGAUGAUUGCUUGAUUAAUUAUCUUAGUAGUAUGCUUGUGUGUUUUUGUUUUAGUCGUUUCUGUUUUUCCCUUUCUUUGGGCCUUCGGUGUUACAAAUUUUCCCCCUAUUAAAGUUGCUUGUCAGCCGACACUGGACCCGAAGAGUCAACAAGAAAUGCAUAUAUUUGGAAACUCAGCUAAACAGAAUGGAAUUAUCAGCUGACUGCAGUGAAAUUGGGAUAUCUCGUCUGAAUGCAAAAGAAAUCCUAGGUGGACUGUCAGUAUCAAGUUUGCGUUAGCGUGCACCCAUCACAACAAAAUGAUGAAAUCAGCAGGAAGAUAAAUUGUGUGCAAGGUUGACAGAAUAUUAUCAAUGGUAUGGCUCAGAUACAAGUUUAUUUUUGUUGAGGAUGAUUUUGGAACUCGGUGUACCUGGAAGCAAGCAAAAUAUGGCAUAUACUCGGAAAGGAGAAUAGUCCUGCAAAACCCCGUAUCAUACAAGAAAUCAACAACAAAAAUAUUCAAAUGGUUAUAUAUGUGGAAAUCGGUCCGCAUAUCACAAUAAGAAGCUUCUGGUGUAAGCAACCCAAUCUUCCCUCACAAGAUACCCGAGAAGCUUCCAAGCCAAGAUUUAUCUAUCUUCCUCAGUACGAUACGUGGAUGACUUCCCAUGCAAGGUACUCUGCCUUCUUCAGUAAGCAACCGCAAAAGCUUCCGGCAUAAGGUACUGAGUCUUUCCCCAGCAAAGUUCUUAAGGGGGUAAGCUUCAGAAGCACGAUACCCAGUCUUCUUCGGCAAGUUGUCCGAUGAAAGUUUCUAGCACAAGCCAGCCCGUCCUCCUCAGCAAGACAUUGGUACAAGGUAGUACACUGUGAAUUGACAGCAUAUGGCAGUGAAUCCCAAGAAUCAGAUCGGCAACAUUUUGGUCAGAAUCAAGAAUCAGUCAGAAUACACGUCUGUCUCGGAAUCAGGUUCUCAUAUAUAUGUAAUGAGCAUACCAUCAAGAUCUUACAAGUCACUCGGAUGAGGAUCUGAUAACCACGUGAGGAUGAUUAAUAGAAGGAAGCCAGUAUACACCAUAGUGUAACAAGAGAUUAUGAGGAUUGACGACAUCAAUGAGCUCAAUACAAGUACCCGUGAACCUAGAAAAUGAUCCUGAUGAGCCCUUGUCCCCUUUUUCUCCAAUGAUGGCACCACACCUGUGAUCUGAGCUGUUUCUAGCUAUCCGGGGUGGAUGCCUAUUUUUGUUUCUCUCUUCAACGAUUGUCACGAGUCUGAGCUGCUUUUCAGCCAUCUCGUACAACUGUUGAGUUUCUUUUUGUGACAGUAGCCCUAAAGUUGCUUUUUGGCUAUUUUAGGGAGCUGUCACCUUCUUCUUAUCGACCCGGUCUCAUGCUCUGAGUUGCUUUUCGGCUGUCCUGAGUCGUGGUUGAGUUAUUUCAGUAAUGUCCCAGAUCUAAGUUGUAAAGACCGUUCUGGUGGCCACUGAUUUAUUUGCCAAUUUCUUGCAAUGGUUUCGGAUGAUCAUUUCCCAACAAUCAGAAAACGAGAGGUGUUGAACCUGCCAUUUAAUAGGUUACCCUGUCAGAAAAAUGAGGAUAAGCUACGAUUGCUGAAAAAUUGCACCGACAGUACCUAUGGGCAUACGAAGAAGAAAUAUGACCCAGCUCUUUCAGCCAAAGCUCUAGACCAAGAAAACAAUAAUGAUGGAGCAAGACCAGUGAGGCAGGUAUGAAAAUUGUACACUACCCUAUGGUGCAGAUACCCCGGACAGUCUAAGUCAGUAUUGAUCCACAUGGAUAUGCCUACAACAUGAGUAAUCGUCAUGAGGAAUAACAGUCUGGAAGCCUGAGUCCUUACUUAUAUGAAUCAUCACGGAUAGCCUAUCGUGAACAAAAUUGUUCCGUCAGAACCACCGUCAGAUAAGUCUGCAAAUAUUAUCAUACAGGCCAAACCGUUUAUGCUGGCCGUGACAGGAGACAAUCAAAUAUUUGGUACGGAUCCGAUACUCAUGAUAGUGGAACCGGUUAAGAUGAUUCAGAAACUCCUGCGAUGAGUCAGAAUUUGUCAGGAAACGUUUGUGUUUUAACUCACUGUUGGGAACCCAAAGGACCUGCAUUUAGUGGAAAAACCCAAUGCAAUGAGUCAGAGCUUGAGUUUUCAUCAGAAAAUUUUGAUCAUCAUUACAUGAAAGGUUGUCAGUACCGGGUGGCACACCCAGCGGAAUUACUUUUGGAUUUGUGAGACGGACAUAUAUUUCAGUCGUGAUAAUCAAAUCACACUUAGCUAGUCAGCAGAUCUAAAAAGAAAUUGGGGCCUAUAUAAGCAUGAGCAAGACAGGUAAGAUCUGUCAGAAUGUGGAUACAGUAAAGCAAACCACCCAGGGCCAGUCAGAUAAAAAUUUAGUGGGAACAAGAAUAAAGGAAAAAGGAUACCCGAGUUGGAAACGGUUUCCUUAAGUCAAAAUAUUCAUACUUGUUCCCUGAGCAACCAAAUCCUGAGGACGAGACUUCUUUAAGGGGGUAAGGUUUGUGACAGCCUGAUUUUUGGCCCUUUCUUUUUCUUUUGUUUUUCCGAGGUUUUUGCGUGAGUUUUCUUUUUCCGUGGCUUUGUGGUCUGGAAACUGAAGAAGAUGCCCUCUUCUUUGUUUCCAGAGGGGCUUGUCAUAUCCUUCCCUAGACCUUUCCAUUUCCACCUUGGACCAAAUCCCAAUAUUCCUUUUAUUGGGAAUAUUCCUAUUCUAUUAAAGGAAUAACUCAAAUUGCCCUAGGUUGUGAAGCAACCUAUAUUUCCCUCACUCCAAAAAUUCCCAAAUAAUUCUCAUAAAUUGUUUGGGUCAUAUCUUGAUGAAAUAUGGCUAAACUUUUCAUUGCCAUGUUCAAAAAUAAUUCCCCAAUAUUCCUUUUCCUAUUCUGCCCUGGAUGGCACUUUGUGAAGGAAGUGUCAUUUAUAUUUCUCCUAGUGCCUCCCAACCUUUUUGGGCAUGUUUAUAUGUCCAAAUAAUUUCCUCAUGCACAAGUUCAAAUUUAUUUGCCUAGUCAAUCUUCCUCAGUGAAUUUUCAAAGUUUCUGUCAAACAGAAGGCUUUGUGAAGAAAGUACUAUCUAGGAGUACCCAAAUGAGUUGAAAUUUUGCACACUCCUUAAUGUGCUCAUAUUAACCCCCUCUACCCAAUUUCAGCCCCAUCCAAUCAUCUAUGUGAGCAUAGGAGCAAAUCUUUGUUUCUAGCAAUACUUCCAGGUUGUGAAGCAAGUAUAUUUUAUAUUGCUUCAAAAAUCUUGAUAAAUUACCAGAUCAUUCUUAUACCCAUAAAACAUAUCUCAACCCAUUUUGGCAUCAUUUCAAUUAGCCAUUUGAUCACCAUAAUUAUUCCAAGUUUCUGGAUAGAACUGAUGUUUGUGAAGCAAGUGCUAUUUUGGCUUGUCCAUUUGGCAUGAUAUUUUUUACAUCAUCUUCAUAUGUCCAAAUGCCUAAGCCUUGCCCAAUUUGAGCUCAAGUGGACACUCCAUGUGAGUGCACCAUCACGAUCUUCAUUUCUGGACCAAGUAUGAAGUUGUGAAGCAACUGCAGUAAAUCUUGAUCCUUUUACCCUCAAAACCUCCAGGAUGAAAGUCCUUCGAUAGAUAAACCUCCCAGACAAGCUAGUUACUGAUUUACCUAGCUGGUUUAACCACAGCAAGUUACAAACACCUUCUUACUGAUUUACUUUUGGAGCUAAGUGCAUAUCUCUUCUUUGCCCAUGGACCGAUUUAUUUCUUUAGUUGGACUAAGGGCACCAAGGUCCAUCCACUGGACAUGGUUGGCCACACCAAAGGGCGCCUCUUGCACUAGUGCGCAUAGUGAUCACGCUUGCGUCAUGGCCGCAGGCAUGCUCUGGCUUGUUCCGGCCACUAUGCUCAUCUCCUCCAUCGUCUCGACCUCAAACCUUGUCCAGGAGCUCGCCCGUGCUCGACUGCGACGCCCUGCAUCCGAGCCUCGUCGUGGUUCACCAUAAAUGCGUCGUAAACGCCAUGCCCGUGCCACAAACCGGCUCUGUCCUCCAUUGUUUGCAAGUUGGAGCCCGUCUGUUAGCUCAAGAAGCCUCCCCUCUGCUAUAUAAGCACGACCCAAGCCCUCCCGCAGCUCAUCCACUCCUCACUUGCCUCCCUAGCCCACCGAAGCCCUCGGCCCCCUCCUCUUUUCUCCGGAAUCCACCUCCGCCGAGCAUCCUUUGUCACCUCCUGCCGCCGCCUUCAUUUGCCGUUCCUAGCCUCCCCGCGCCUCCCUCUGGUCGGGGAUGGAAGCGCCGCGUCGGGCCGCGCCCGCCGGUGGCUUCGCCCUGGCCGGAGAUGGCCGGAGCUGGCCGGCCCCCUCGCCGCUCCUCCCCUGCCUCUGCUCCUCCUCUGCUUCGGUCAGGCCAGGGCGAGGAAGAAGACGACGACGCCAGCCUGGCCCCUGCCAGUGGGUCCCGCGCCCCUCUCGGCCCCACUUGUCGCCCUCUGGCCGUUGACCAACCUAGCCCACGUGGAUAAGUGACAGGCCCCACCCAUGGGACCCGGAAGCGUCAGCCCCGCCACUAUUCAGAUGGAUAAGGUGAAGGCGUAUUUCCCAGAAUGCGUUUUCACUUUUUCUGUUCAGGCCCCUGGUUGAAAAUAUUUUCAUUACAGAUGGGUCCCUGGCAGAAAAACUUCCAUAACUUUUUAUCCAUAACUCCAAAUGAGGUGAUUCCAAAGCCUGCUUCUUCGUUUCAUUGAGCCCUUUCUAUUGGUCACACUUUCACUAUGGUUUGACACUGUGAAAAUUACCUCUAUGCCCUUGCCCUUAUUCAGCCCCCUCCGAGAGAGAAUGUUUUCCGGUGAUUCUUUCUGCGGCUUCACUGUACUUCUCCCUGGUGUUUUCUUCAUCCCCAAGCAAGCCACAAUACCCACUUGCAUGAUAUUCAUGCAAUAGCCAUGGUUUUCAACUGAAUAUUUAAUAAAUGUUUGCUUGUUGAAAAGAUGGUUAUCGUUGUUCCGGUGAUGUUCAGAUUUGCAUGUUCACUUUUGUGCUAUGUUGUCUUAUACUCUGUUAUCAUGUUAUACCUGCUAGUAUUACCUUUCAUAUGUUUAUGCUUGUUAGUAGUACAUGUUGAUGUUGGAGAUGGUCAUGCUAGUCAGUAUGCGAUGCUCAGUGGAUAUGAUUUAUUGUUGAUAUGGUGGAAAGUUAUGUGAUACCCUCAUGAUGAUGUUGAUAUCAUGUUCAUGCAUUUUAU